UGGUGCCAAGAUUGAAAGGAGAAAGAGGUUGAGGGAUAGUGAGGGAGGUUGGAGAAGAGAGUAAAAAGAGGCCGCUUACCGGAUUUGAAAUUGGUGAAAUGUUUCUUGGGCUGGUGGGUCUGAGGACCUGAGGUCACAGGUGGAUCUUUUCUCACGGAGCAAAGAGCAGGAAGACAGGGGAUUGAUCUCCCAAGGGAGGUCCCCUGAUCCGAGUCAUGGUACCAAAUUUUAUGCGCGUCCAUGUGAAGAGACCACCAAACAGGCUUUGUGUGAGCAAUAAAGAUGUUUAUUUCACCUGGGUGCAGGAGGGCUGAGUCGGAAAAGAGAGUCAGUGAAGGGAGAUAAGGGUGGGGCCGUUUUAUAGGAUUUGGGUAGGUAAAGGAAAAAGGGGGGUUGUUCUCUGGCGGGCAGGAGUGGGGGGUCACAAGGUGCUCAGUAGGGGAGCUUUUGAGCCAGGAUGAGCCAGGAGAAGGAAUUUCACAAGAUAGUGUCAUCAGUUAAGGCAGGAACAAGCUAUUUUCAAUUCUUUUGUGGUGGAAUGUCAUCAGUUAAGGUGGGGCAGGGCAUAUUCACUUGUUGUGUGAUUCUUCAGUUACUUCAGGCCACCUGGGCGUAUACGUGCAAGUCACAGGGGAUGUGAUGGCUUGACUUGGGCUCAGAGGCCUGACAAGACUGAACUAGGGUUGGGAUUGUGUGACAAGCUGGUCUCUAUCAACCGUGUCUGUGUCCACGGCAUUGUUGUGUUGCGAUCGCGCUCCUCCUAGGUCAGAACUUACAGUGGGAGUUUGGGAGGCCGAAGUGGGUGGAUCACCUGAAAUCAGGAGUUCAAGACCAGCCUGGCCAACAUGGUGAAAUCCUGGCUCUUUACAAAUACAAAAAUUAUGGUGGGCACGGUGGCUCUCGCCUGUAAUCUCUGCACUUUGGGAGGCCAAGGCAGGCGGAUCACUGAGGUCAGGGGUUCGAGACCAGCCUGGCCAACAAGAUGAAACCCCAUCUCUACUAAAAAUACAAAACAAUUAGCUGGGUGUGGUGGCGGGUGCCUGUAAUCCCUGGCUACUCAGGAGGCUGAGGCAGGAGAAUUGCUUGAACCUGGGAGGCGGAGGUUGCAGUGAGCUGAGAUUACGCCACUGCACUCCAGCCUGGGUGGACAGAGCAAGAAUCGGAAAGCCUGACUCCAAUGGGGAUAAUUGGAUCUCAGGGUGGCAGGGACCAAGUGACAGAACUUAAUGACCAAAGGCAAGGUGGGUGGUUACCGCUUGGACAGCAGAGUCAGAGCAGCCACCAGAGUGCUAUGACUUGGCCGGGCGGUGGUUCAUGCCAGUAAUCCCAACACAUUGGGAGGCCCAGGUGGGAGAAUCUCUUAAGGCCAGGAGUUCGAGACUAGCCUGGGCAACAUAGUGAGACCUGUCUCUACAAAAAGUUUAAACAAUUAGCCAGAUGUGGUGGUGCAGGCCUGUGGUCCCAGCUACUCGGGAGGCUGAGGCAGGAGGAUCACUUGAGCCCAGGAGGUCGAGGCUGCAGUGAGCUGUGAUUGUGCCACUGCACUCCAGCCUGGGCAACAGAAUGAGACUCUAUCUCUAAAGAUAAUACAUUUUUAAAAAGAAUUCCAGGAAUCCACCCCUAACACCAGCCCCUCCCCUCCCUCUGCAGAACAAAGGCCCCAUCAGAGGGGACAUGCUGGGCGUCAGGGUCGGCUUCCGGGAGGAGGAAGGUGGGAGCUAAGACCUGAAGGAUGAUGAGGCGUGAUGUGGGUGGAGGGGAGAAGCUCAGGAGAUGGGGAAGGCGGAGGUGCACAGGCCCUGACAGGAUAGAGGGAGCCGCGGAAGGGAGGCCGGCCUGGUGGAACCUUGAGGGAAGGCAAUGAUCCUGCAUCCCUCCAGGGGGCGCUGGAGAGCCAUAGAGUUCUUUUUGUUAACAGCUUCAUUGAGACCUGAUUCAUACAUAAAAUUCACCCAUUUAAAGCGUACAGUUCAAUGGCUUUUAGUGUAUUUAUAGGGUUGUGCACCUGUCACCACAAUCAAUUCUAGAAUAUUUUCAACAUCCCCAAAAGAAACUCUGAACCUCCUAACAGUGAUCGCCGGCCCCCAGUCCUCGGCAACCACUAAUCCCCUUUCUGUCUCCAUGGGUUUGCCUAUUCUGGACAUUUCACGUAAGUGGAAUCACGCUACACUGCCCUUUGUGACUGGCUUCUUUCAGUAGCAUGUCUUCCAGCUGCAGCACUGCUGUAGUGUCUGUCAGUCAUUCCAUUUUUUUGUGUGUAUUUUUUGUUUUGUUUCUUUUUUAGAGACAGGGUCUCGCUCCGUUGCCCAGGCUGAGUGCAGUGGUGUGAUCUCGGCUCACUGCAACCUGGAUCACCCAGGCUCAAGCGAUCUUCCCACCUCAGCCUCUCAAAUAGCUAGGACUACAGGCAUAUACCACCACGCCCAGCUAUUUUUUGUAUCUUUUGUAGAGAUGGGGUCUCACUAUGUUGUCCAGGCUGGUCUCGAUCUCCUGGGCUUAAGCCUCAGCCUCCCAAAGAGCUAGGAUUAAAGGCGUGAGUCACCACGCCCAGCCUGUCAUUCCUUUUCAUUGCUGAAUGAUAUUUCAUUGUCCUGGAAGAACUCUGAGCAGAGAAGGGACAGAGUCGGGCUAGCGCUUUAUCCCUCCAGUGGAUUAGACGGGGUAGGAUGGGUUGAAUUGUGUCCCGCCAGAGGGUAUGCUAAUUCCUCUUCCCAGCGCCUGUGCAUGUGACCUUAUUUGGAAAAAGGGUCUUUUCAGAUGAGGUCAUAGGGUGGGCUCUGGUCCAAUAUGACACAUGCCCUUCUAUAAAAGGGGACUGCCGGCAGUGUGACAGAAGCUAGAGAGAGGCAGGGAAGACUCCUGGCAGGUUCCCGAGGGAGCUCAGCCCAGCCAACACCUUGACUUCCAAUUUCUGGCCCCCAAGAAUGUGAGAGAUCUGUUGUUUCAAGUCAUCCAGUCUGUGGGGUUUUGGUACACAGGGAGGCAGAGUGGAGGCGAGAGGGUGGCGAGGAGGGGAGGAGCACAGGGAGGGAGGGGCUCAUCCAGGGACUGCAGGAAGGUGCAUAAAGGAUAUUGGGGCCCAGCAUGGUGGCUCAUGCCUGUAAUCCCAGUACUUUGGGAGGCCGAGGUGGGAGGAUCACUUGAGGUCAGGAGUUCGAGACCAGCCUGGCCAACAUGGUGAAUCCCUGUCUCUACUAAAAAUACAAAAAUUAGCCAGGCGUGGUGGCGGGCAUUUAUAAUCCCAGCUACUCAGGAGGCUGAGGCAGGACAAUCAUUUGAACCCAGGAGGCAGAGCCUGCAGUGAGCUGAGAUGGUGCCACUGCACUCCAGCCUGCAUGACAGAGCAAGACUCCAUCUAAAAAAAAAAAAGAGAGAAAGGAUAUUGGGAAACAGAGCCAGGCAUUUUGGAGAUGAGGGUGUCACCAAAAUGAGCAUGUGUCACCUUCCAGGGAUGGUCAGUGUGUGGCUGCUACAGCAACUGGCAGGGGGUAAACAGCAAAACAUGGCUGGGUGCAGUGGCUCACGCCUGUAAUCCCAGCACUUUGGGAGGCAGAGGUGGGAGGAUCGCUUGAGCCCAGGAAUUCAAGACCAGCCUGGCCAACAUAGUGAAACCCCACCUCUACUAAAAAUACAAAAAGUUUAGCCAGGCGUGGUGGUGCAUGCCUGUAGUCUCAGCUACUUGGGAGGCUGAGGCACAAGAAUUGUUUGAAUCUGGGAGGCGGAGGUUGCAGUGAGCCGAGAUUGCACUACUGCACUCCAUCCUGGGUGACAGUAAAAGACUCUGUCUCAAACACACGUGCGCACACACACACAGCAGAAGAUGGAGGGAGGAAGGACAGGGCCUACGGACUCAUUGGGUGCAGCAGUGAUCACUGUAGCUGAUGUUUGCUGAGAACCGUUUAUGUGCCAAUCCCUGCUCUAAGCACGUGGACUAAUGCAUCAACUCUCAACAACAACUUGUGAGGUGGGAACGAUCCUUAACUUCCUUUUACAAAUGAUAAAGCAGCCAUACAAAAUGAGGAUGACAACAUUCUCCUUGCCUACUCCCGGCCCACAGGGCUCUCUGUGAUUCAGCAAUGGUUGGCCCCUGGUGAGGGGAAACUGUGGCCUGGGCGCCUGCACUAUGUUUGUGCAAGAUCUGUAUUCUGAAAAUUAUGAAAUAUUGCUAAAUUAAAGAAGAACCGACCAGGCGCGGUAGCUCACGCCUGUAAUCCCAACACUUUGGGAGGCUGAGGCAGGCAGAUCACUUGAAGCCAGGAGUUUGAGACCAGCCUGGCCAACAGAGUGAAAACCUGUCCCUACAAAAAAUAAAAAAAUAAAAAAUAAUAAAAAUAAAAAAUUAGCUGGGCGUGGUGGUGCUUGCCUGUAAUUCCAGCUACUUUGGAGGCUGCAGCAUGAGAAUCACUUGAAUCCAGGAAGUGGAGGUUGCAGUGAGCUGAGAUUGAGCCAUUGCUCUAUUGCACUCCACCCCAGAUGACAAAGCGAAAGCGAGAAUCUGUCUCUUUUUUUUUUUGAGACAGAGUCUCACUGUGUUGCCCAGGCUGGAGGGCAGUGGCGUGAUCUCGGCUCAGCUCACUGCAACCUCUGCCUCCCAAGUUCAAGUGAUUCUCCUGCCUCAGCCUCCUGAGUAGCUGGGAUUACAGGUGCCCACCACCAUGCCAGGCUAAUUUUUGCUUAUUUAUUUACUCUGAGACGGAGUUUCGCUCUGUCGCCCAGGCUGGAGUGCAAUGGUGCGAUCUCAGCUCACUGUAACCUCUGCUCCCAGGUUCAAGCGAUCCUCCCGCCUCAGCCUCCCAAGUAGCUGGGACUACAGGCGCAUGCCACCACACCCAGCUAAUUUUUGGAUUUUUCAUACAGACAGGGUUUCACCAUGUUGGCCAGGCUGGUCUUGAACUCCUGACCUCAAGUGAUCUGCCCGCUUCAGCCUCCCAAAGUGCUGGGAUUACUGGCGUGAGCCACUGCGCCCAGCCUAGUCUACUGAUUUUCAGUAAAGGUAUUAAAUUAAUUCAAUGGGGAAAUGAAUACUUUUUUCAAAAAAUGGUUCUGGAACCAUUAGACAUCCAUAUGCAGAAAAAUGAGCCAUGAGCGUUAACUCACAUCAUACACAAUGCCUAACUGGAAAUGGACCACAGACCUAACGGUUUAUAUUAAAAAUCUAAAACUAUUAAACUAGAAGAAAACAUAAGAAAAAACUUCAUGAUCUUGAGGGUAGGCAAAGAUUUGUUAGGUAGAACAGAAAAAGUAGAAAUGACAAAAGAAAAUGAUAAUUUGAAAUUCCAUCAAAAUACAAAACUUCUCUUGUCCAGGAGCAGCAACUCACACCUGUAAUCCCAGCACUUUGGAAGGCCAACGUGGGAGGAUUGCUUAAGCCCAGUUCGAGACCAGCCUGGGCAACAUGGCCAGAUGCCAUCUCUACAAAAAAUACAAAAAUUAGUUGGGUGUGGUGGCACCUGCCUGUAGUCCCAGCUACUCAGGAGGCUGAACUGGGAGAAUCACCUGAGCCCAAGGAGGCUGAGGCUGCAGUGAGCUGUGAUUAUGCCACUGCACUCCAGCCUGGGCAACACAGUGAGACCCUAUCUCAAAACAACAACAACAACAACAACUUCUGCUCCGCAAAAGACACUGUUAAGAAAAUGAUAAACGUGGGUCAGGUGCAGUAGUUCAUGCCUGUAAUCCCAGCACUUUGGGAUGCCAAGGUGAGAGGAUCACUUGAGCCCCAGGAAGUCAAGACCAGGCUGGGCAAUAUGGCAAAACCUCAUCUCUACAAAAAAAAACAAAAAUUAGCCAGGUGUGGUAGCAUGUGCGUCUAGUCCCAGCUACUCAGGAGGCUGAGGUGAGAGGAUCACCUGAGCCCGGGCAGGUCGAGGCUGCAGUGAGCCAUGAUCACACCACUGCAUUCCAGCCUGGGCAACACAGUGAGACCCUGUCUCAAAAAAACAAAUUCUGCUCUGCAAAAGAUACUGUUAAGAAAAUGAUAAAGAUGGGUCAGGCGCACUGUUUCACACCUGUAAUCCCAGCAUUUUGGGAGGCUGAGGCGGAAGGAUCACUUGAGGCCAGGAGUUUGAGACCAGCCUGGGUAACACAGCAAGACCCUGCCUGUCUCUACAAAAAAUAGAAAUAAUGAAAUGAAAAGGCAAGUAUAGACUUGGAGAAAAUAUUUACAAUAUGCAUAUCUAACAAACGACUUGUUUCAGGAAUAUGUAAACAACUCUUUUUUUUUUUCUUUUUUUUUUUUGAGAUGGAGUCUAGAUCUGUCAUCAAUGCUGGAGUGCAGUAGUGCAAUCUUGGCUCACUGCAACCUCCACCUCCUGGGUUCAAGCGAUUCUCCUGCCUCAGCCUCCCAAGUAGCUGGGAUUACAGGUGCCCGCCACCACACCUGGCUAAUUUUUGAAUUUUUCAUAGAGACAAGGUUUCACCGUGUUGGCCAGGCUGAUCUCAAACUCCUGACCUCGUGAUCCGCCCGCCUCAGCCUCCUAAAGUGCUGGGAUUACAGGUGUGAGCUACUGCACCUGGCCUGGAAAACAAUUUCUUUUUUUUUUUGAGGCGGAGUUUUGCUCUUGUUGCCCAGGCUGGAGUGCAAUGGCGCAAUCUCAGCUCACCGCAACCUCAGCUCACCACAACCUCCGCCUCCCGGGUUCAAGCAAUUCUCCUGCCUCAGCCUCUGGAGUAGCUGGGAUUACAGGCAUGCGCCACCAUGCCUGGCUAAAUUUUGUAUUUUUAGUAGAGACGGGUUUUCUUUUUUUUUUUUUUUUUCUUUUUUGAGACGGAGUCUUGCUCUGUCAACCAGGCUGGAGUGCAG
rnacentral:lncRNA from 10 species